UUUACAGGCUGGUCCAGCCCAGUUCCGUGACUAGCAGGGCGAAGGGAUCCGUGGAUCCUGCCUCCAGAAAAGGGAAUAAGGGAAAAAAAGGUAGAGAGAUGGGUCCCAAAACAGAACAGCGACAACGAUCUGAGAAACAAACUAAUUUACUAAAUAAGAUAUUGGAAUGCAAGAUAACAUACUGCAAUACAAUUAAUCAGAAUUGAAGCUAAUAAAUCCAACAUAAUGAGAGAAUGUCUGAAGGGUGGAAAGGCCUCACAAUAACACUGAGGUGAGAUGCGCAGUUGGGUCGAGCAGCAGGGAGGAGAGACAAAAAACAAGAGAAGGUCUCGUGACCCUUGCCAAGGUCUCCUCUCUGAACACAAACUCUUCUGGGGUAUAUAGUUCUUCUCUUCCGGACAGCUGGGGGUCAGCCUCUUCUCUCAUGUGACUAGUGAUAGGACUAGAGGGAAUGGCUUCAAGCUGCGCCAGGGAAGGUUCAGGCUGGACGUUAGGAAAUACUACUUCUCUGAAAGGGUGGUCAGGCACUGGAAUGGGCUGCCCAGAGAGGUGGUGGAGUCACCGAGCCUGGUGGUGUUCAAGGAACAUUUGGAUGUUGUGUUGAGGGACAUGGUUUAGUGAGAAGUAUUGGUGAUGGGUGGAUGGUUGGACUGGGUGAUCCUGUAGGUCUUUUCCAACCUUAGUGAUUCUAUGAUUCUAUGAUUCUUUGAUCUCUUCUGGGAUUUAGAGAUUCAGAAGCAUAUUAUGUUUCCAGUUUUCUCUGCAAGACUAAGAAUUUUCCCAUUUGUAGGCAUCUCAUGUCUACAUGUGAUGUUGUCCCAGCAAGGAACACUGUACUUCAUUUCUCUAAAGACACACACUGCAUUUUUAAACACAAUCUCC
rnacentral:lncRNA from 1 species